AUUUUUACGAUUUUUGGUUAUUCUUGAUUUAAUAACAUAAUUUGAUUUGUUUUGGUAGAGAAAUAAAAACACUGGAAAAGAACCAAACUUGCAGAAACUUUCGGAAUUGACUCACAUGAAGGACGGACAUUGGGUUAAUGAUGCCUCUGCUGAAUUAAAUGAUAAGGUGAACGAAUAUAUUGCUGAACAAAUCCAAGAAAUUGAAGAGGAUACCGAUUUGGACCGGAUUGUUAAUGCCGCAUUUGUGGAAGUUGUUGGAGAAACGUCAAGUUAUUGUCGGGGUCAAGGAUCGGGAGUUAAGUCAACAACUAGGAGAUCCAUGAAUGGAAUUCAAGAGAAACUGCAAGCACAACAAAAAGAGGCAGAAGAAGAACGUCGUAAACGAGUGUAGAAUGCCAGCUAAAAGAAGUACAGAAACAGGUUGAGGAGGAGCGAAAAAAUCGAGAAGCCUUGGUGGUUGACCAAAAAUUGUUAAAAGAGAGCAUGAUGGCACUAGCAUCCCAUAUACUAAGUAGUGAGAAUGGAGUUUCUGGUGGACUUCUAAACAUUAUUUCCAAUUUAAGUGGUUCAAAUGAGGCAACCCAUUUAAGACUUAUGGAUAACAUCACGGAUGAAGAUGAAUAAACCAACAUAGCUGACAAUAUGGUUCAUCUAAUGCUCAAGCUACUAGAAGAAGAUUUACUUUUGGGUUGUUAUUAGAUUAGAAAUUAUGAACCUGUAGAUGCUCUUGUUAUUAUUUUUAAGUAAGAACAUGUGUUUUAGUAGUAUUUAGUUUUUGAAAGAAUGUAAAUACUUAGUGCAUUA